rnacentral:rRNA from 1 species
UGGCGGCGCGCCUAACACAUGCAAGUCGAACGAGAAAGUCCGCAAGGAUGAGUAAAGUGGCGUACGGGUGAGUAACACGUGGAUAACCUGCCCUUUAGUGGGGAAUACCGCUGGGAAACCGGCGACAAUACCGCAUAAGCUCGAGAGAGGAAAGCAGCAAUGCGCUGAAGGAGGGGUCCGCGGCCGAUUAGCUAGUUGGUAGGGUAAAAGCCUACCAAGGCUGUGAUCGGUAGCCGGCCUGAGAGGGCACACGGCCACACUGGCACUGAAACACGGGCCAGACUCCUACGGGAGGCAGCAGUGGGGAAUCUUGCACAAUGGGGGAAACCCUGAUGCAGCGACGCCGCGUGAGCGAUGAAGCCCUUCGGGGUGUAAAGCUCUUUCGGCAGGGACGAUUAUGACGGUACCUGCAGAAGCAGCUGCGGCUAACUACGUGCCAGCAGCCGCGGUAAUACGUAGGCAGCAAGCGUUGUUCGGAGUUACUGGGCGUAAAGGGUGCGUAGGCGGCUUCUUAAGUCUGGUGUGAAAU